UAGGCCCUCAGGCAGGAGUGUGGGAGGAAGAUGGUAGGAUGGCUGGGUUAUAAAAGGAAGUAAGAAGAGCUAGGUGAACUAGUAUUGAUAGAGCACAGCAGGAGGAAGGCAGUAGGUGGAGAAAGAGGGAGAGGAAGCGGCUUGUGCAGUGUCUUUGGGGUUCUACAAAUCUUUCAGCUGAGGAAGUCGUGGUGAAGAGUGAGAGAAAGUGAGCUUCAAGACUGGGAAAGAAUGGGGAGAAAAAUGCCAGUCUUUAAUGAACUCGGAGCUAAAGUAAAUU
rnacentral:lncRNA from 1 species